rnacentral:rRNA from 1 species
UACGGGGGGGCAAGCGUUGUUCGGAAUUACUGGGCGUAAAGGGCUCGUAGGUGGCCAACUAAGUCAUGCGUGAAAUCCCUCGGCUUAACCGGGGAACUGCGUCUGAUACUGGAUGGCUUGAGUUUGGGAGAGGGAUGCGGAAUUCCAGGUGUAGCGGUGAAAUGCGUAGAUAUCUGGAGGAACACCGGUGGCGAAGGCGGCAUCCUGGACCAAUUCUGACACUGAGGAGCGAAAGCCAGGGGAGCAAACGGGG